rnacentral:rRNA from 2 species
AAGACAUAAGAUCAGACAUAGUUAGUAGUUUAAACCCGACAGGAAUAAAGAGCUAAGUUUCAAUGUGUUGACUGAUCGGGUUGUCUUCGGUUGGGGCGACCGCGGAGGAGAAGAAAGCCUCCAUGUGGAGUGGGGAAAUACUCCCUAAAGCUAAGAGCUACGGCUCUAAGAAGCAGAAUAUCUGACCAGAAAUGAUCCAGGUUAAGGCCUGAUCAACGAACCAAGUUACCCUAGGGAUAACAGCGCAAUCCUUUCUCAGAGUUCAUAUCGACGAAAGGGUUUACGACCUCGAUGUUGGAUCGGGACAUCCUAAUGGUGCAGCCGCUAUUAAG